ensembl:lncRNA LINC00658 long intergenic non-protein coding RNA 658
CAGAUGGGAUAACCAGAGAACUAGAACCUCCAGAGCCCAGAGUCUUAUUUCUCAAAAUUCCCAUGUCCAAGCUUGGAUGGACAACACCCAAGUUGCCUCUUUAAGGUGGCCUGAACGAUGGACCUAUAAAAAGGACCAACAUGUUCAGAGGACCAAGCAUCCUUACCUAAAUACAGUUGGCAUCUGUGUGAAGAUGUGAAUGGAGGAGGCAGAGUAGGCAGUGAGUGCCGCAGCCACAGCUUGUGUUCUCUGCAGCCCUGGCACAGAAGAUAGGAACACUCAUGGGGGAUGCGGCCACUGUGAUGUCUUCCCACACAAGAAGUGCCAAGUGCUUUUCUCAUGCUUUUCUGGAUUGUCCCAUGGUGGACGAGUCAGCAGGAGUGAGAUGGAGCAGCACAGUAGAGGGGUACCUGGCAAGGCCCGGAGGGAGGACCCCCUGCCCCAAACAUUUCAAUGAUAUCAGGUGACAGCCGUGAUCCUCUUAGCACCUGCUCUGUUUUGUCCCAGGCCAGGAUAUCGUUGUACAUAUUCUCAGCUAAGUGAGCACCAAUAGAGGAGAGGGAGAGUCUCAUGGAAGUUCCUUCUAAGCCUUUGGCUCUUUUUACCUUCAACAAGGUGUGCCACCUCUUUGAUCCAGCAAGUGGGAAGAACAGUCCCGGCCUCUUUGCACACAAGACCGUGAUACCAAUGCACCAUCACAGGCCCCACAGGGGAGCUGUCCGCUUCCCCACACAGCUGCUAGGGGCUCUUUUGCAUGUUCCCAACCUUUCCUGCCUUUAUCUGAUAUUCGUUCCUUAGAUCCUGGGAUGAGGAGGUGGACCAGCAGAAGGUGGGCUUGUGAAGGCAGCCCGGGGUCCAAAUCCUCCUGGCUCUUCAGCUUAGCGGGUUAGUUAACAUUCAGAAGCCUUCAUCUCCCAUCUGCAAAAUGGGCAUGUCCAACUCAGAAGCUGCCUUGAAGAAAGGGUCUACCCAGCAUGGUGCGUGGAGCCUAAGCAGUCAGUACUUCAGGACUUCACCCGGCCCCUUUCCAAUAACUGCUGCUGUCGCCCUCACAGGAUGUCACCUUCAGCGUCUGAAAGCUGGGUUUGAUGCGUCUGGAAAGGCGUCCCUGACAGGCGUCGUUGCCAGGAGCCCCUAGUGCCACCAGCAGCCAGCAGGGGAGGGCGUCCUCUGCCCGCUCACUUCUGACCCUUCUCUCGUUGCACCCGGAACAUGGUGCAGCUGGGAGCAGCCUGGGCUGCGCGGAAGGCUCAGAUUUGGGGACGGCCCUUGCCAGUGACUGUGAGCUGGGGUGUCUUGGAAACUCCCAGUCUCAGCUUCUCCAUUUAUAAGAUGAGAAUGAUCAUACCAGACUCAGGCAAGGUUGUUUGUGCAUUAGUGAAAUCAGACGUAUUAAAUAAAGUACCACAUUGAUCGUGGAGUUGUUGAAUAACCAAGAA